rnacentral:rRNA from 1 species
UACGGAGGGUGCAAGCGUUAAUCGGAAUUACUGGGCUUAAAGCGUGCGCAGGCGGUUUGUUAAGUCUGUUGUGAAAUCCCCGAGCUCAACUUGGGAAUUGCAAUGGAUACUGGCAGGCUGGAGUAUGGUAGAGGAAGGUGGAAUUCCCGGUGUAGCAGUGAAAUGCGUAGAGAUCGGGAGGAACACCAGUGGCGAAGGCGGCCUUCUGGACCAAUACUGACGCUCAUGCACGAAAGCGUGGGGAGCAAACAGG